rnacentral:rRNA from 1 species
CCUACGGGUGGCAGCAGUGGGGAAUAUUGGACAAUGGGGGGAACCCUGAUCCAGCCAUGCCGCGUGUGUGAAGAAGGCCCUCGGGUUGUAAAGCACUUUCAGUGAGGAAGAACGCCUGGUGGUUAAUACCCAUCAGGAAAGACAUCACUCACAGAAGAAGCACCGGCUAACUCCGUGCCAGCAGCCGCGGUAAUACGGAGGGUGCGAGCGUUAAUCGGAAUUACUGGGCGUAAAGCGCGCGUAGGUGGCUUGAUAAGCCGGUUGUGAAAGCCCCGGGCUCAACCUGGGAACGGCAUCCGGAACUGUCAAGCUAGAGUGCAGGAGAGGAAGGUAGAAUUCCCGGUGUAGCGGUGAAAUGCGUAGAGAUCGGGAGGAAUACCAGUGGCGAAGGCGGCCUUCUGGACUGACACUGACACUGAGGUGCGAAAACGUGGGUAGCAAACAGGAUUAGAUACCCCAGUAGUC